AGCGAACGCUGGCGGCAGGCCUAAUACAUGCAAGUCGAGCGCACCUUCGGGUGAGCGGCGGACGGGUGAGUAACGCGUGGGAACGUGCCCUUUGGUUCGGAACAACACAGGGAAACUUGUGCUAAUACCGAAUGUGCCCUUCGGGGGAAAGAUUUAUCGCCAUUGGAGCGGCCCGCGUUGGAUUAGGUAGUUGGUGGGGUAAAGGCCCACCAAGCCGACGAUCCAUAGCUGGUCUGAGAGGAUGAUCAGCCACACUGGGACUGAGACACGGCCCAGACUCCUACGGGAGGCAGCAGUAGGGAAUCUUGCGCAAUGGGCGAAAGCCUGACGCAGCCAUGCCGCGUGAAUGAUGAAGGUCUUAGGAUUGUAAAAUUCUUUCACCGGGGAAGAUAAUGACGGUACCCGGAGAAGAAGCCCCGGCUAACUUCGUGCCAGCAGCCGCGGUAAUACGAAGGGGGCUAGCGUUGCUCGGAAUUACUGGGCGUAAAGGGCGCGUAGGCGGAUAGUUUAGUCAGAGGUGAAAGCCCAGGGCUCAACCUUGGAACUGCCUUUGAUACUGGCUAUCUUGAGUUCGGGAGAGGUGAGUGGAAUGCCGAGUGUAGAGGUGAAAUUCGUAGAUAUUCGGCGGAACACCAGUGGCGAAGGCGACUCACUGGCCCGAUACUGACGCUGAGGCGCGAAAGCGUGGGGAG
rnacentral:rRNA from 1 species